CCAAAUACACAAACGAACAUACCCACACCUACAGAAAACUCAAUCAUGUGCACGUGUCCCUUUAGCUGGCUAUCUAGCGAUAUUCAAAGAAUUGGUCCCGUACAUCCAUUAUCCAUAUAAAUCCAACUUUUUACCUAAAGUUGUCUUAUGUGAAACCUCUAAAAGCAAUUAAUCUGAGGCCACAAUAUAGCAUGUGGACAAACACAUCUUGUGCGUGCUCAUUCUUCAUCCUUUUUCUCAAUGCUGGUCCACAUUAAUGUUCAAACCAUAGAUUAAAUUCAGUUAAUUGAACAUGAUGGAUCUUGUUUAUAGUUACCUUAGAAAUGAACUGUUAGAAAAAUGAAUCACAACGUUUCUUUGCAGAGCCGUCAUCUCAUGUGAUGCAUCUUCUUGGCUCAAUUUCCCUUGUUCCUCUUUGCAUCCUUGAGCAAUUCUUUGUGUUAAAUAGACAAAAGACGUCGUUGCUUUCUGUUUGGUUGUGAAAUUAAAGUGGAGAAAUGGGCAGUUGGGUUAAAUAAGGACAAAACAGAGACUGAUCAAUCUUAAAUAACAAAAAAAAAACAAGAAGUUUCAGUUGGUAGAAUCAUAAAUACUGCAUUUUCUGAAACCCAGUUGAAAUGAUUAAUCAAAUUAUUCGUCAGAAUUUACUUAGAAGCAAUGAUUUCACAUUGUUUCUAAGGUUUAAGCUUCUUUCAAUGUCAGAUAAGGACAAUUUUAUCCAGGGGCCCCUCCCCCACCUGUUGGUGGGUCAGCUGGCUGAAAGAAGACUUUGAUUUCAAGGGGUGGAAAUUAAAGAAACACUGUCUUAAAAUGACUUUUCGCCAACUAAAAGCAGUCUGCCCGUUGAAUGCAGGCCAGCUACGUGAGAAGAUAACGCAACUAAUUAGCCAGUCACUAUCAGAUUGUUUUACUUGCGUUUCACUACAAAGAGCACAAACGCAAAAUGGCAUUUUGCGGUAUUUUUACUCACGUAUGUCACACUGUGAGAAUUUCACACUGACAUGUGCCUUGUGCACACUGUUUGUCCUCUUGCUGCGUUUAUGUGGCCCCUUUUAACUUCGAGGGACAGCUGUAGAGAAGCAGUAGCAGCACACCACGCCCCAUUAGCUGCUGUGACACAGUUAGUCAUGUCCACAUGAGAGACAUUGCAUAAAAUGACAAAAAAAAAAGCUUCACAGCCCUGUGUCUUACGGAUGCAGAAAGACUGAAGCAAGAAAUCAGGUGUUUCCUGUUUUCAUUGAUCAAAGCACACUGGGAAUCCAGGAUUCUUUUUCCCCACAGCUCCUCUACACAAAGUCAAGUGCAGGCACACCUGCCACGGCACAGACUUAUUCAUCAGUUUGCAAUCGGUAUGCGGGAAUGAGGAGGUGGGUGUGGUGGUGACGUAGAAGAUAAGUUUAAAAAUACUCCAGAGUGGUGGAUGAGUGCAGACAGGGUGGGGAGGUUGGUUGGGGAGUUCAGUGUUCAGGUUUGAAGCAAAGUCAUCUAAAAAUAACAGAAAUACGCCAAGGACGCUACAGUUGAAAGUCCAUUCAAGCUGAGGACAUUUACCUCCGUUUUUAGUUAGCUAUUUAGUUAGCCAGCUGCUGCAGUUUAAAUAAAGCUCAUCCGGCUGCACCUCUUGACAUCACAGAUCGUUGUUUAGAGAAGUCUUCAGCCUUUGGAUCUCCAGCAAUAUUCCAGAAGUUGUGAAGUUGGCUUUAGGUAAAAAAAUAAGACAUGCAGGUAACUUCUUGGAAAGGACAGCUCCUUCUUAAGAGAAUUAUGCUCCUUAUUCUAAGUAUUUGCUUUAUUUUAUGGCCGACAAAGCACGUGAUAAAUGACAGUCUGUCAAUGGUUCAUGGUGAAAAACUUGAAGGUGUUUAUCUCAUUUGAAGUUUGUGACUAAAGUUAUUAUUUCCUAUCUUCUCUGAAGUUAGUCCCCAUCAGUAGCUACUGGGGACUCUACUGAAGUACCUGUAUCUAUAUUUAUUUCACACUUCUCACAUUUUCUAGGUCUAUAUAUCAAAGUACUAAAAAAGUUGCACACAGAUUUAUCCUGUGCCAUUUUUUCCAGCAGGUUUUUUUUAAUAAGGAAAUGCUUCUUUGAAAAUC